UGCAAUUCCUCUGUUCUUUUGGCGUUCACACAGACCACCAUGGGAUUUGAUCCCGGCCAACAUCGUGUAAUCCAGUUAGCUCUUCCUAACUCACAUGACAUGCUAAUCUCACAGUAGGACAGUGCUACAGAUCCUGAAACGAGCGUUCAGGGGGAAAAAAACAAGCUUGAAUGGUUUAGACCAAGGGUGUCAAACAUGUCAAACUAGCCUGCCAACUAGCUCAAAACUAGCCUGCCAAAGGUUCAUGGGAUGAAUUUGCUAGUAAAAUAAUAGCAUAUUUACUUAUAAGUAAUGACUCCAAAUUUUCUUCUUGGUUUAAUGUGGAGAAAAAAGAUUUGUAUCAUACCUAUAAUUAAUGACAACUCUAAAUGUUUCUCUGUGUUUGUGCAAAAAAAUCAUUAAAAUAUGAAAAUUUUUUUACAUUAGCAAACUGUCCUUUAGCAAUAAAUUGUGAAUAACCUGAACAAAUAUGAACAACUACAAAUGACUAAAGAAAACUACGUGCAAUUUUAAUAAUAUUCUACCUGUUACCAAAUGUUUAGUGCCUUUGUAUAUCAAUCUGUGAUGCAUAAUAUUGUUAAAAUUGCACUUAUUUUUCGUAAGAAAUUCCAUUUUUUUCAUUCAAUGGCUAUUAUACUCUUAUUUUACUGAUCUGGUCCACUUGAAAUCAAAUUGGGCUGAAUAUGGAACCUGAAAGAAAAUGAGUUUGACAUCCCUGGUUUAGAGGGAGAUAUAUGAGGAUUGAGACUUUAUACAAUAGUUUUAGUUCCGAUGCACUGGAGUCGUGUUUCUAAGUUUAACAUAAAUAGAAAAGCACUGGUACAAUCUUCAGUUAAUCUAUUAGAGGUCUAAAAAUAUCUGUUAAAUAUAAAACUGUCACACAUACUUCCGAAUCUUUUUUUAGCUCGGGGCUACAUGACUUCAAAAACUAGUCAGUCAUGUAAAAAAAACCUAGGUGUAGAAUUUGACUGUAGGGUUAAUUUCUUAUGUAACUAUGUUUGAACGUUAUCUGUUUAAUAAACUUACACAGUUUUUAAAGAAAUCUGUGGAAAAACACUUUGGAAAUCCAAAAACAUAACUAGAUACCUAAGCCUACCAGACAGAGCUGUCAGUCCUUCAACAUGGAGGCAGUUCACUUCCACUACACAUGCAGGAAAAAAGUCAAAUAAUAGCCAUUAGUCUCUGUUCCUGUAAGAGGAUACAGCCCAAGCUGCAUUCCAUUGAAAAAGACUGAGAUUUGUUUCAGCUUCACUUAUCAGUUCAGCACACAAACAAAGAAGGAAGACGGUUUGGUGAGUGAGGUAGGCCUGACUCGGGGAUAAAACCUUUCUCCUGUCACCUUUUGAGGUCAACUCACGAUCCACAAUCUGAAUCACAAUUUUCUCACCUCUUAUAAAGUGUGGGUGAGUCGUAACCAAACUACAACUGGUUUUCCUCUAGUGUUCUCUGGUUUCUGGAGGCCUAGUUUGUGUGAUGGCUUUAUGUUGUUGUUUCUGACUAGAAACUCUACAUUUGGCCUCAUUCUGGACCAUGAACAUUGACACGAUCCACGUAAAGGAAACAGUGGGCCAUAUGCAGCUGGAUUCUUUUUCAAAGCGUGUAUGUCCACAGUCCUGUUGGACUACCUUUUGUCAUGUGUCUCAGGUCCAAUCAGUGCCCUGGUUCUGUCCUCUGUAGACUGGUACCCUGUGCCCCUGCUGACACAGUACUGUGGACAGAACCAUCACACAUGGACCUAUCCAGGUCCAGGACCAGGACAGGGGACCAGUUACCCAGGCUACAUCCACACCACUACGCUCCUGAUAUUUUUCUUUUGCGCAUUCUAAAAGUUUCGUGCCCAUACACGUAUCAUUUUCAUAAAUAUCUGCGCCCAGGUGAAAACAGUGUAAUAUGUAUGCCACACCUAUAUGUGGCACUGUACACAAACACAGACAGAGCCUAUGGUAGGAUACAUUCAAACCACAGAAGAAUGCACUGAGCAUGUGCAGGAGGUUAUGUCCGGGGUUUUCUUCUUUUGGUCACAUGGUACGGUGGUCAUCAUGGUUUCCAUACUGUGGUGUUGGUCCUAUCCGUACGUCAACACCAGGGCGGAGCUGGGACAUGUUUACACUCUGGGACCUGUUCUACAAAAACACAGUUUCAGGCACUGACAACGCCGGUGUCAUGUGACCAAAGGCCCAAACGGAUUAAACUGUAGUGGACUGACAUAAUGUGGUUGUG